ACGGGUGAGUAAUGCCUAGGAAUCUGCCUGGUAGUGGGGGACAACGUCUCGAAAGGGACGCUAAUACCGCAUACGUCCUACGGGAGAAAGCAGGGGACCUUCGGGCCUUGCGCUAUCAGAUGAGCCUAGGUCGGAUUAGCUAGUUGGUGAGGUAAUGGCUCACCAAGGCGACGAUCCGUAACUGGUCUGAGAGGAUGAUCAGUCACACUGGAACUGAGACACGGUCCAGACUCCUACGGGAGGCAGCAGUGGGGAAUAUUGGACAAUGGGCGAAAGCCUGAUCCAGCCAUGCCGCGUGUGUGAAGAAGGUCUUCGGAUUGUAAAGCACUUUAAGUUGGGAGGAAGGGCAGUAAGCGAAUACCUUGCUGUUUUGACGUUACCGACAGAAUAAGCACCGGCUAACUCUGUGCCAGCAGCCGCGGUAAUACAGAGGGUGCAAUCGUUAAUCGGAAUUACUGGGCGUAAAGCGCGCGUAGGUGGUUUGUUAAGUUGAAUGUGAAAUCCCCGGGCUCAACCUGGGAACUGCAUCCAAAACUGGCAAGCUAGAGUAGGGCAGAGGGUGGUGGAAUUUCCUGUGUAGCGGUGAAAUG
rnacentral:rRNA from 1 species